UACGGAGGAUCCAAGCGUUAUCCGGAUUUAUUGGGUUUAAAGGGUGCGUAGGCGGCCUGUUAAGUCAGGGGUGAAAGACGGUAGCUCAACUAUCGCAGUGCCCUUGAUACUGAUGGGCUUGAAUGGACUAGAGGUAGGCGGAAUGAGACAAGUAGCGGUGAAAUGCAUAGAUAUGUCUCAGAACACCGAUUGCGAAGGCAGCUUACUAUGGUCUUAUUGACGCUGAGGCACGAAGGUCAGGGGAGCAAACGGG
rnacentral:rRNA from 1 species